rnacentral:antisense_RNA from 1 species
GCGCGCCCCUUCCCGGGCAGUUCCUCUCGGCGCCCCCGAGUCCUCCCCGCGCGCCGCUUCCCGGGUGGGCCCUUCCACCAGAGCCCCCUGGUAGAUCCUCCCCUGGUGCCCUGGGGGUAGAGGGGAGAUCCUCCACAAGGGUCAUUUCCCUGGUGAUCCCUCCCUGUGCCCCACAGGUGAGUCCUGCCGUAGCUCUCCAGGGGUUCCUCCUGAUGCUGGGGUCCUCCGGCAUUCCUCCCUGAGCCCCCCAAGGGCCCUGAAGCUCAGCGGCCCAGCCCUGGCCUCGGGGUCCCCACCCCACACCUCCCUUCCAGGCCUAACCUUUGCCCCCGACACCAGGCAGGGCGUGUCCUUGGCCUUCGCCGCCCAGCCCGCGUGGCAUCUCUGGACAGGUGGCCGUGCGCGCCUUGGUGUGGGCAGGCUCCGUAGCCGGCAAAGCCUCCCUGAACCGUGACCUGGUGAGAAGGCCACAGAGGAGGUGCCUGUGCCCAGAGGCCACCUCCAAAGACCCCACCUGAGGCUGGAACCCAGCGCCUGCUGACCCCGCCAGCCCCAACAGGGCUGGAGUCCAGGAGCGGCCGUGCUCUUUCCGCAGUGAGGCAGCUGCCUUCUCUUCCCACCACCUGUCAGGAUGCCUUCCCGUGUGUGCUUGUGCACAGGUCUAAGGAGAGGAGAGUCCAGUGACCCAGACGCCCCAGCCAGGAAGAGCAUGAGGAAAGCAAAGCUGCGGCCUGAGAUCUCCUUCCACCAACUCCUGGCAUGGCCAGAAAGUUAGCCAGAAACACCAGAAAGUGCCAGGCAGCUAGGAAGCAUGGGGAGAGCCCCCCGAAGCUGCGUGUGUAGUGCCUGCUUCCGCUGCCAUCCCAGAAAUGGACGAACUUCUCCCUGAGAACCCAGCCACGCCACUGGGACACAUCCUGACAGUGACACGCACACUCUCCCCUGGCCCCAGCCUGGAGAGGAGCCUCCUGAAGACACCAGCCUUUGCUCCUUCUCCCAGUGGGAGUGGAGAGAACUGACUGCUGGAGUGGAGACAGUCAAGGCUGUCCUGAGGGAGCACAGCACAGGGUCUGGUGUCCCAGGGAGGCAAUCUGAAAUUCAAGCCAGGCCUCCCCAGCGGAGAGGACACACCCCUCACCAUGCAGAGUGACAUUUAGUAAACUCUCAAAAGAGAGCACAGAGCCCCGCUCCUCCAGCCGACCCCUACUCUGCCUCCCCACUCCAGACCAGUGAAAAAGGUGGAUUGCCCUUAAGCCAGCUCAGAGGCAAAGUCCAAAGACCUCAGGUGAGUCAAACAAUAAAAACAAAGAAUUAAGAAGAAUCCAGCCGGGUGCGGUGGCUCACGCCUGUAAUCCCAGCACUUUGGGAGGCUGAGGCGGGAGGAUCACGAGCAGGAGAUCGAGACCAUCCUGGCUAACACGGUGAAACCCCGUCUCUACU